rnacentral:ncRNA from 1 species
GAUAAUAGGCUGAUGACUCCCAAGAGCUCUUAUUGACGGAGUCGUUUGGCACCUCGAUGUCGACUCAUCACAUCCUGGGGUUGAAGAAGGUCCCAAGGGUUUGGUUGUUCACCAAUGAAUGUGGUACGUGAGUUGGGUUUAGACGUUGUGAGAGUC